AUAGAGUUACCACCCCCUGACCUCAUCAUCAUCAUCAUCAUCAUCAUCACUAACAUAGUCUGGUCCCAGGAAGUCCUUGAGUACCUGUGUGUUCCUGUUGGUGUAACAGUGGAACAGGUAGACUGCAGCCAGAAACUCCUGAACGCUCAGAUGAACGAAGCAGUAGA